CUGCAUUAAAUCUAUUACGUAUCAGCGUAAAAUUAGUAACAAUCAUUAGUGUACCAAUAGAUUACAAUAAUAUGGUCGUAUAUUCUGUGGUAUAACGGUAACAGAAUAUACAACAUCAGUUAUCACGAUAUAAAUAUACAAUAAUAUGAUAAGACCGAAUAAGGAGGUAUGGGAUUAAAAUGUCACCGAUCGCUCCAACCAAAAUCAUGCGUUUGAUAGGCACACCCAUUGUGAAACAUAACAAAGUGCGACUUUGUGAUACGUCGAAAAUAUCAUGACCGUAACUGGCAAUGGCUUUAUACGGUAACCAGCACCAGAUCCGGUGAUAAAUAUCACUGCCAGCUGAGAUUUCUGUCCGUGGCGAAAUUUCAUUAUUUAAAUUGGUGCGCAUACGAAGACGCAGUUCACAAUCGGUAUACAACGCCGUAACGCCAUUAUGGUCCAUCAAUAUAGUUAAACAUUUAAAAGUAUUAUAUUCUAUUUUUAUUAUACCAUAUAUAAUAGAACCCC